ACGUGUAAUUCAAAAGUAAAAAACUUAUGAAGAAUCACAUGUCUCAUGAUUAGUGUUAUAAAGAAAAAAGAAAGCAUGCAUACAGGAAUAUCCACAUAAGCAAUUUUGCAAUGCCAAGUGAGUACACCUAUGUGAAACUGAGAAGUGACUGCUCGAGGCCUUCCCUGCAAUGGUACACCCGAGCUCAAAGCAAGAUGAGAAGGCCCAGCUUGUUAUUAAAAGACAUCCUCAAAUGUACAUUGCUUGUGUUUGGAGUGUGGAUCCUUUAUAUCCUCAAGUUAAAUUAUACUACUGAAGAAUGUGACAUGAAAAAAAUGCAUUAUGUGGACCCUGACCGUGUAAAGAGAGCUCAGACAUAUGCUCAGCAAGUCUUGCAGAAGGAAUGUCGUCCCAAGUUUGCCAAGACAUCAAUGGCGCUGUUAUUUGAGCACAGGUAUAGCGUGGACUUACUCCCUUUUGUGCAGAAGGCCCCCAAAGACAGUGAAGCUGAGUCCAAGUACGAUCCUCCUUUUGGGUUCCGGAAGUUCUCCAGUAAAGUCCAGACCCUCUUGGAACUCUUGCCAGAGCACGACCUCCCUGAACACUUGAAAGCCAAGACCUGUCGGCGCUGUGUGGUUAUUGGAAGCGGAGGAAUACUGCACGGAUUAGAACUGGGCCACACCCUGAACCAGUUCGAUGUUGUGAUAAGGUUAAACAGUGCACCAGUUGAGGGAUAUUCAGAACAUGUUGGAAAUAAAACUACUAUAAGGAUGACUUAUCCAGAGGGCGCACCACUGUCUGACCUUGAAUAUUAUUCCAAUGACUUAUUUGUUGCUGUUUUAUUUAAGAGUGUUGAUUUCAACUGGCUUCAAGCAAUGGUAAAAAAUGAAACCCUGAACGUCCCCACAAUCGGUGUCAUUGCCGUUGUCUUAGCCACACAUCUGUGCGAUGAAGUCAGUUUGGCGGGUUUUGGAUAUGACCUCAGUCAACCCAGAACACCUUUGCACUACUUCGACAAUCAGUGCAUGGCUGCUAUGAACUUUCAGACCAUGCAUAAUGUGACAACGGAAACCAAGUUCCUCUUAAAGCUGGUCAAAGAGGGAGUGGUGAAAGAUCUCAGCGGAGGCAUUGAUCGUGAAUUCUGAACAUAGAAAACCUCAGUUGAAAAUGCAACUCUAACUCUGAGAGCUGUUUUUGACAGCCUUCUUGAUGUAUUUCUCCAUC
rnacentral:sRNA from 1 species